rnacentral:rRNA from 1 species
UUUUUAUGGAGAGUUUGAUCCUGGCUCAGAGUGAACGCUGGCGGCGUGCCUAAUACAUGCAAGUCGAACGAUGAAGCUUCUAGCUUGCUAGAAGUGGAUUAGUGGCGCACGGGUGAGUAACGCAUAGGUUAUGUGCCUCUUAGUUUGGGAUAGCCAUUGGAAACGAUGAUUAAUACCAGAUACUCCCUACGGGGGAAAGAUUUAUCGCUAAGAGAUCAGCCUAUGUCCUAUCAGCUUGUUGGUAAGGUAAUGGCUUACCAAGGCUAUGACGGGUAUCCGGCCUGAGAGGGUGAACGGACACACUGGAACUGAGACACGGUCCAGACUCCUACGGGAGGCAGCAGUAGGGAAUAUUGCUCAAUGGGCGCAAGCCUGAAGCAGCAACGCCGCGUGGAGGAUGAAGGUUUUAGGAUUGUAAACUCCUUUUGUUAGAGAAGAUAAUGACGGUAUCUAACGAAUAAGCACCGGCUAACUCCGUGCCAGCAGCCGCGGUAAUACGGAGGGUGCAAGCGUUACUCGGAAUCACUGGGCGUAAAGAGCGCGUAGGCGGGAUAGUAAGUCAGAUGUGAAAUCCUAUGGCUUAACCAUAGAACUGCAUUUGAAACUGCUAUCCUAGAGUGUGGGAGAGGUAGGUGGAAUUCUUGGUGUAGGGGUAAAAUCCGUAGAGAUCAAGAGGAAUACUCAUUGCGAAGGCGACCUGCUGGAACAUAACUGACGCUGAUUGCGCGAAAGCGUGGGGAGCAAACAGGAUUAGAUACCCUGGUAGUCCACGCCCUAAACGAUGGAUGCUAGUUGUUGGGGAGCUUAGUCUCUCCAGUAAUGCAGCUAACGCAUUAAGCAUCCCGCCUGGGGAGUACGGUCGCAAGAUUAAAACUCAAAGGAAUAGACGGGGACCCGCACAAGCGGUGGAGCAUGUGGUUUAAUUCGAAGAUACACGAAGAACCUUACCUAGGCUUGACAUUGAGAGAAUCCGCUAGAAAUAGUGGAGUGUCUAGCUUGCUAGACCCUGAAAACAGGUGCUGCACGGCUGUCGUCAGCUCGUGUCGUGAGAUGUUGGGUUAAGUCCCGCAACGAGCGCAACCCCCUUUCUUAGUUGCUAACAGGUUAUGCUGAGAACUCUAAGGAUACUGCCUCCGUAAGGAGGAGGAAGGUGGGGACGACGUCAAGUCAUCAUGGCCCUUACGCCUAGGGCUACACACGUGCUACAAUGGGGUGUACAAAGAGAAGCAAUACUGCGAAGUGGAGCAAAUCUCAAAAACAUCUCUCAGUUCGGAUUGCAGGCUGCAACUCGCCUGCAUGAAGCUGGAAUCGCUAGUAAUCGUGAAUCAGCCAUGUCACGGUGAAUACGUUCCCGGGUCUUGUACUCACCGCCCGUCACACCAUGGGAGUUGUGUUUGCCUUAAGUCAGGAUGCUAAACUAGCUACUGCCCACGGCACACACAGCGACUGGGGUGAAGUCGUAACAAGGUAACCGUAGGUGAACCUGCGGUUGGAUCACCUCCUUUCUA